AUGCUUCUAUUUGAUGGACCUGGAGCAGUUACUAACUGCUGCUAAAGUUUCUAUUAUAUUACCAAUGCAAGAAAAAAGUAUCCUUGAGCCUUCUGUCUGAUUGUGGCAGCCAAGAUUGAAUAGAGGAGUAAUGGC
rnacentral:snoRNA from 1 species